rnacentral:rRNA from 1 species
UGGGGAAUAUUGCACAAUGGAGGGAACUCUGAUGCAGCGACGCCGCGUGAACGAAGAAGGCUUUCGAGUCGUAAAGCUCUUUUAUAUGGGAAGAUAAUUACGGUACCAUAAGAAAAAGCCCCGGCUAACUACGUGCCAGCAGCCGCGGUAAUACGUAGGGGGCUAGCGUUGUCCGGAAUCACUGGGCGUAAAGGGUUCGCAGGCGGAAAUGCAAGUCAGGUGUAAAAGGCAGUAGCUUAACUACUGUAAGCAUUUGAAACUGCAUAUCUUGAGAAGAGUAGAGGUAAGUGGAAUUUUUAGUGUAGCUGUGAAAUGCGUAGAUAUUAAAAAGAAUACCGGUGGCGAGGACGACUUACUGGGCUCAUUCUGACGCUGAGGAACGAAAGCGUGGGUAGCAAACAGG